rnacentral:tRNA from 1 species
AUUAAGGUGGCAGAGCCCGGUAUAUGCUAAAGGCCUAAGACCUUUCUCCCAGAUGUUCAAAUCAUCUCCUUAAUA